rnacentral:rRNA from 1 species
CGAAGUGGUUUGAGCUAGAUAUAACUGUAUUAUUAGUAUUUUGUGUAUGGUGUGGCAAAACGAUAUCAAAAGUUAUGUGUAGGGGUGAUAGGCCUAUCAAAAACCAAGAUAACUUGAUUCUAAUGAAAGGUAUUUAGUACAAUAUUAUACAUUUAUUAAGUGGUGAGGCUUAAUAAUAAUAUAAAGAUAUGUUAAUAGGUGUAUAUUAAUUUAUAAUAAAAAAAUAUAUAAUUAUAAUAUUAUUUCACUUUAAUUGUUUAUAGAUAUUAAUUGGAUGUAGCUAAACUUUGUAUGUUUUAAUAAUGUUAGUAUUAGUAUAUUGGUGCUGGGUUUAUUUGAGGAACUCGGCAAAACUGUUUCUCAACUGUUUAUCAAAAACAUAACUGUGUGGGCCUAUACAUAGCUUUUUCUGCUCAAUGAUUUUAUUAAAUAGCCGCAGUAU